CCUACGGGAGGCAGCAGUGAGGAAUAUUGGUCAAUGGUCGGGAGACUGAACCAGCCAAGCCGCGUGAGGGAUGAAGGUACAGAGUAUCGUAAACCUCUUUUGUCAGGGAACAAAGGCGGGGACGUGUCCCCGGAUGAGUGUACCUGAAGAAAAAGCAUCGGCUAACUCCGUGCCAGCAGCCGCGGUAAUACGGAGGUUGCGAGCGUUAUCCGGAUUUAUGGGGUUUAAAGGUGGCGCGGGCGGUCUGUAAAGUCAGCGGUCAAAGCCCGGGGCUCAACCCCGGCCCGCCGUUGAAACUGGCAGUCUCGAGUGGGAGAGAAGUAUGCGGAAUGCGCGGUGUAGCGGUGAAAUGCAUAGAUAGCGCGCAGAACUCCGAUUGCGAAGGCAGCAUGCCGGCUCCACACUGACGCUGAGGCACGAAAGCGUGGGUAUCGAACAGGAUUAGAUACCCCAGUAGUC
rnacentral:rRNA from 1 species